rnacentral:lncRNA from 1 species
GAGCGAUGACUCAAGUGAUGAGGACAAUGAUGAACUUGAACUUCGAACACCAACUCUUAAUAAGUUCAUUAAACAAAAAUCUAAAAUAAACAAUGAACUUGAAUGGAGGAAGAGGCCAAAGAAAAGGAAGGCACCUAAGGAUGAAUCAAGAACUUCCAAAGGUGAAACGGCGAAUUGGGCUUUGACGGGCUUCGACUACAAGGUAAGUAACUCAACUCUCUUGAAUUAUUUUGAAAUUACUUGAAGUUUUUCAUGAGUUCUUAAUUUAGAUAGUAGGAAUAGGAAAUUAAAAAAAAAUUAUUUUUCAAAAAUUAUAUCAUGUUUUUCUUUUUUAGCAUCUUUGAAAAAAUUAAAAAUUUGAUCAAUGAAAAGUAUAUUGCUAA